GCCUGGCUGGCUCAGUUGGUUAAGCGUUGGACUUGGGAUCUCAUGGUUCAUGGGUUCGAGUCCCAUGUCAGGCU